rnacentral:lncRNA from 1 species
CUCUUUUCUGCGCCUGCAUUCAUAGUCCACUGUGUGCAGAGGCAUGGGAGUUGUCAUGUUGGGAACAUGCUAGACCUCAGUAUCCUUGAGCUUGAAGAAAGACGACAGAACACUGGAGACCAAGUACUUACAGCCUUCUGCUCUGUGGCCCCUCCUCACUCCAGGGAUGCUGCCUUGGGUCUGGAAACUGUUAGAGGAAACCCCAAGAGGUGCAGGCACUGAGCCUCUCAGGACAAUGACCUGGGGUCCCAGCUCCCCUGGAGGGGCCUCCUCAUGAUUGUUUGGGGGUUGAUCACAGACCAAGAGUGACGAGUGAUGUCACCCUGUGACUCAUGGCUGGACCUUCUUGCCCCUAUUGUCUCAGCACAACAUUAUUCGACUUUUCCCUCAGCGUGGGUGGGCAGAGGAAAAGCCCUGUGGCUCUGGGGACUUGGGAUCCAGAGUUGAAGACCCUUCAGCUGGCUCUGCCCUGCCAGUGCCACAGAGUGCCAUGGCCCAGGAAGACAGGUUUUCUUCCAUCUAGGCCAGGCCAUCCAGUGGCCAUCCUCCGUGUCCUCCCGCCUCCUCCUGGUGUGACUUCUGAAAACCAAGAAUUUGUUCCUGUUGACUUUUUCUGUGCUAUGGACCAUUGUCCUCUCACCCACUCAAUAAAUCUUGAAACAUGC